rnacentral:sRNA from 10 species
GCUGGGCAUGAUGGCUCAUGCCUGUAAUCCUAGCACUUUGGGAGGCUGAGGUGGGUGGAUCACCUGAGGCCAGGAGUUCGAGAUCAGCCUGGCCAACAUGGUCUCUACUAAAAAUACAAAAAUUAGCUGGGCUUGGUGGCAGAUGCCAGUAAUCCCAGCUACUAAGGAGGCUGAGGCAGGAGAAUUGCUUGAACCCAGGAGUUGGAAGUUGCAGUGAGCCGAGAUCAUGACACAGCACUCCAGCCUGGGCAACAGAGUGAGACUCUGUCUCA